rnacentral:rRNA from 1 species
AUUGAACGCUGGCGGCAUGCUUUACACAUGCGAGUCGAACGGCAGCGCGGGCUUCGGCCUGGCGGCGAGUGGCGAACGGGUGAGUAAUGCAUCGGAACGCGCCCAGUAGUGGGGGAUAGCCCGGCGAAAGCCGGAUUAAUACCGCAUACGACCUGAGGGUGAAAGCGGGGGACCGAAAGGCCUCGCGCUAUUGGAGCGGCCGAUGUCGGAUUAGCUAGUUGGUGGGGUAAAGGCUUACCAAGGCGACGAUCCGUAGCUGGUCUGAGAGGACGACCAGCCACACUGGGACUGAGACACGGCCCAGACUCCUACGGGAGGCAGCAGUGGGGAAUUUUGGACAAUGGGGGCAACCCUGAUCCAGCCAUGCCACGUGCGGGAAGAAGGCCUUCGGGUUGUAAACCGCUUUUGUUCGGGAAGAAAUCCUCUGGGCUAAUACCCCGGGGGGAUGACGGUACCGGAAGAAUAAGCACCGGCUAACUACGUG